UACGUAGGUGGCAAGCGUUGUCCGGAAUGACUGGGCGUAAAGGGUGUGUAGGUGGCUUUGUAAGUUACAAGUGAAAUCCCGUGGCUCAACUACGGUGCUACUUGUAAAACUGCGAGGCUUGAGUGUGGGAGAGGUAAGUGGAAUUCCUAGUGUAGCGGUGGAAUGCGUAGAUAUUAGGAGGAACAUCAGUGGCGAAGGCGACUUACUGGACCAUAACUGACACUGAGGCACGAAAGCGUGGGGAGCAAACAGG
rnacentral:rRNA from 1 species